GACGAACCGUGCGACCGUUAUUCGGAAUCACUGGGCUUAAAGCGCGUGUAGGCGGGGUGGCACGUCGGUCGCUGAAAGCCCCCGGCUCAACCGGGGAAGGGGCGCCGAUACGACCACCCUGGAGGGACGUAGGGGGACCUGGAACUUCCGGUGGAGCGGUGAAAUGCGUUGAGAUCGGAAGGAACGCCCGUGGCGAAAGCGAGGUCCUGGACGUUUACUGACGCUGAGACGCGAAAGCCAGGGGAGCGAGCAGG
rnacentral:rRNA from 1 species